ACGGAGGGUGCAAGCGUUAUCCGGAAUCACUGGGUUUAAAGGGUGCGUAGGCGGCAUUAUAAGUCAGAGGUGAAAGGCCACCGCUUAACGGUGGGACUGCCUUUGAUACUGUAGAGCUUGAAUAAGGUUGAGGUUAGCGGAAUGAGUCAUGUAGCGGUGAAAUGCAUAGAUAUGACUUAGAACACCAAUUGCGAAGGCAGCUGGCUAGACCUUUAUUGACGCUGAGGCACGAAAGCGUGGGGAGCGAACAGG
rnacentral:rRNA from 1 species